GGACGUUGGUGUCGUGAGCAAAGGUGAUUGGUGUUGUGGUUGGUGCUGCGGUUGGGGGAUUGUGGUUGAAGACUCUUAGUGGACGACGAUUCCUGCACAUUCUUUGGCUGCCGUGGUGUAGGGAGGCCGUUGUGGAGGUCAAUUCUUUUGGCAUGCAUUUAAGGUUUUUCGUGCAGGUUUGGUCCUCCGGUUGAGGGUUUUUUGUUGAAGGCUGGUGGAAGGGCAUUGGUGCAUUCUUUGCUGCUGCCUUGAUGUAGGGAAGUUCUUCUGGUGUAGGGAAGCUCUUGUGGAGGGAGGGUUCGAUAAUCCCUGUGUCGUGGAGAACAUGGCCCAUUUUCCCAAUCAUCGUGGAUGGAUGUACGACCGUUGUUAUAGUGGAAGGAGAGGUUUGAAGGAAUCUUUUGUCAUCGAAGUUGAAGAGUUUGUGGAGACGGC